UGCCGUGUUAAGACAUAUUAGAAGACAAAGUACAGCAAUAGAGCAAUCAUAUAACCAAGAAUGUGCGGGGCCCAGAGAGGUACGCGCUAUUGACAUCUCCAUUGCAAAUCUGGCAGAGUUAAAGCUACUCUUAGCGCCGAUGCCAUAUGGGGAAUUGUUAAUAGUCUAAGGCAGCUUAGAUCUAUGAUCUCGGCGGCCCCAGGAGCUUCAGCUGCCGGUCAUACUUUCCAUGCAGAACGACUGCGUUCAGGAAGUAGAGGGAGGCCUGCCCUUGAUAUCACUAGGGAACAACUAGACCUCCUCCUGACACAAGGAUUUACAGUGAGAGCUAUGGCUCGGAUGCUCUGCCUCAUAUCUGCACAAGAAAAUUAAGUCUUUUCAUUUGGGAUCAAGGAAAAGGUUCACACAAAUAACUGAUGCAGACCUUGAGGUGAAGAUGGGGACACUCCAUAACCAGUUUCCCCGAGCUGGGUCAGAAAUGAUGAGGGCAUAUCUGCAUACUGAUGGCUUUGUGGUCCCCAGGAGAAGCGUUAGGGAGAUCCUGAACCGUAUUGACCCGUCGGCUGCAGCACAAAGGUGGAGCCAGACUGUAGCAAGAAGAAGUUACUAUGUCCCCUACCCCAAUAGUCUGUGGCAUAUUGAUGGCCACAUGCGUCUCAUUCGGUGGGGAUUUGUAACACAUGGUUGCAUUGAUGGAAAUUCCCGACUCAUCACUUACAUUAAAUGCAGCACAAACACAGCUCGGACAGUUUUGACCCACUUUGUCCGAGCAACAUGUCUGACCAUGGAGGGGAGAACACACUGGUUGCCCUUCUCUUGACCCUCCUACAAGGCCCUGGAAGGCAUCUUACCGGUCCAUCUGUGCACAACCAACAAAUAGAGCGACUUUGGCGAGAUGUAUUCACACAAGUAGUGCACUACUUUUACAGCCUUUUUUAUUCAUAUGAGAAUGAGCAGAUAUUGGACCCCUCAUCCGACACCCAGAAGAUGGCACUCCAAGUGGUUUUCUUUCCAGAAAUUCAGGCAAGAUUAGACCAUUUCCAAAAUGCAUGGAACAACCACAAAAUCAGGUCAGCCAAUCAAAGAACCCCAGUGCAACUCUGGAUGGAGGGCAUGCUGGCAAGUGAGUCUGAUUCCACGGCACUUGAAGGCAUAUUUAGACAGGACCCUUACAGCCAUGAAAAUCUUGACACUUGCUUGGCCAGGCAUGGGUUGCAGUUCAACCAGCUGCAAGCAAAUGAGGAAGAAAUUCAGAGGGCUGUUAUAGAUUCCCCACCUUUGCAUCUGACGUUGAAUCAACAGGAGGAGUUAAACAUGCUAUGGCUGGGGUGGCAGAUCUGAAGAAUAAAUACUUUGAGUGUGUUAGACGGCUGGAGAUCUAUUUUCAGACAUGAAAUGUGCUUCAGGAUGCUUUCAGACUGGAUUGCAAAUGAACCUCUAGUACCAACGCCUUCUGACACUGUUAAGUGGAACAGAUUUGGCAACACAUUUGCCUUUUUCCUUACUUUUCUAUGUACAGAAUAUACAAUAUUUGAUGUCAUUGCUGGGAAUAACUGCUUUAUUGGUUUGUUUUACGAAAACAGCAAUGUUUCCCAUCAAGUGAUUAUGUAAGUUCACAGCACAGAAACGGCUCUAGUAAAGAUAGUCAAUGAUCUCAGACUAGCUACCGACUCAAACAAA